rnacentral:lncRNA from 1 species
UGUCUGGCAGCACUGUGUUCCUGUUAGAGCCACCAGCACAAGCACCAGACGAUGCUGAUCCAGGUGAAAGCCCCAGUGCAGCAGCAACAGCACAUGAUGGAGACCGAUGAUGAGGAGGAGACCAUCUCUGUGGAUUCCAGAAGGCAUGAGGACCCAGAUGCUAUACAGUGGGAAAACCAGCCUGGCAACAUAAGCUCACAAGCUAUCAGAAAGUUGUAUGGCAACCACCUCCGGCGCCAAAUAGAACUGGCAGACAUAGACAUUCAGUACAAGAAGAAAAAGAUAGAAAAUCUUGCACUGGAGUCCGAAAUAAAAAAGAGGACAAUUAGGAAACUGGACCUUGAAAUAAAAAAACUUGAGAGGGAGCUCCAAGAAGAUGACACAGCUCAAAAUAAAAAUUAGCAAUCAGUACAACCAAGUCAUCGUUAUAAGGCACCGGCCUCUUUUGCCCACCCCCCCAGCAGCAAUGUUGUGGCAAAAUGGCCUGGCUCAGUCCAUGACUCCAGAAUCUUUCGGGCCUCUGAAAUCUAUCAGUGCCUAUCACAAGGUAAGCCACACAACCCCUAUUUAUAACCAUCAUGGCUGUGUCAAGAAUAUCACUGUGUUUAUGAGGUAGUAAUGAUGAGAUUUUGUGUUGACAGGUGAAUUCUCUGGUGUGUUGCUGGGAGACAGGGGGUAUGGCUGCCAGCCUUUUCUCCUGACACCUUUCACAGACCCCCAGGAAGCACAGCAGGCCUACAACCAUGCCCAUGCCAGGACCAGGGCCAGAGUUGAAAUGACCUUUGGCCUCCUGAAGGCACGCUUUCACUGCCUUCACAAAUUAAGGGUCAACCCUGUUAGGGCAUGUGAUAUUACUGUGGCUUGUGCUGUCCUCCACAAUGUGGCCUGCCUGAGGAAGGAGAGGGCCCCCAGAGUGCCACCAGCCAUGGACUGGGACAAUCCGGCAAUCUUCCCUGAUGACGACAGUGGUCGGCUGCUGAGGGACCAAUAUGUGUUGAAUUAUUUUAGUUAGUAUGUGUGCUUUCAAUUUAGGUAAAAAAUGUCCUGCUGUGGCAGAGGAAAUAGGGUUUUUUUGGGUUGGUUUUUUUACGAAUUUGGCCUCUUAUGAUGUUUGUGCGGUAUACUGUGUGUAAUACAAGGCUGCAGGGAGGCUACUGCAUCCAUUCAUUUGUCUGUUCAGUUGAUGUGUAUGGAUUUGUCCUGCAUUUAUUUUAGUGUGCAGACAUGCAGGGUGUCUUAUAUACAGACCUUUGAAUGUGUAUGUAUCAUUUUGUAUAAUAUGCUUUGAUUCUGUGCUUUCCAUCUUGUAGAGUCACUGUGACUUCAGUUUCGAAAGGAGCUGAUAGUUAACCUGCUUUGUUUUGUCCUUAUUCAAUAAAGGAACAUAAUGUUACACAUUGUGUUUUUAUAUUCAUAUGGAAUGUGUAUUUGUUUAUAUGACAGAGUACUAGGGGUGGACAGUAGGUAAAUAGGGUUUUUUUUGGGUGGUUUUUUUACGAAUUUGGCCUCUUAUGAUGUUGUGCGGUAUACUGUGUGUAAUACAAGGCUGCAGGGAGGUCUACUGACAUCCAUUCAUUUGUCUGUUCAGUUGUAUGUUGUAUCGAUUUGUCCUGCAUUUAUUUUAGUGUGCAGACAUGCAGGGUGUGUUAUAUACAGACCUUUUGAAUGUGUAUGUAUCAUUUUGUAUAAUAUGCUUUGAUUCUGUGCUUUCCAUCUUGUAGAGUCACUGUGACUUCAGUUUCGAAAGGAGCUGAUAGUUUACCUGCUUUUUGUCCUUAUUCAAUAAAGGAACAUAAUGUUACACAUUGUGUUUUUAUAUUCAUAUGGAAUGUGUAUUUGUUUAUAUGACAGAGUACUAGGGCCCCACUGAGGAAAAAGGAUAAAGUCAUAAAUUUAUGAGGCUGGUUCUUUCUGCAGAAAAGCAACAUUCUUUUUACAGUUUUGAUAGUUAUGACAAUGUGAUACUUCAUAUUCUGGCACAUCAGCAUGUCUUUGUUUAUGAAACCAUACUGAAGUACAAUUUCACGAAAUGCCCCACAUCUGUCAUUUUAACAACUGUCCUCCUUUAAAACAACUGGUUACAAUAUUAUGACUUGUCUUUUUUUCCCUCUGUGGCCCUAAUAUUCUAUCAUUUUAUAUAUAGCCUUAUAGUCUAUGGGAAACUGUAAAUUAUCUAAUGAUAGCAACAUCAUCUAAAAAUCAUUAUUUAUCCAAAAUGAUUGAAAUUAAUGAUCACAAAUGUUUAAAUAAUGACAGUGGGUCUAGUUAUAUGUGAUAACAAUGUAUAGUGAGCAGUGAAAUAACUAUUGGUUUCCAUUUGUGGCGACUGCUGACUGACAUUAGGGAUGAGAUUAAAUAGAUCCUGGAAUUUAGCCUGGUCUGGAGCAGGCUAGCUCCACAGAAUAAAUCUCCAUGGUAAUUUAUACCAUAACAUAUCCUCCUGCCCCCUAUCCAGCUUUGGUGCAACCGGAUUAGGGAUCAAUUGAGCCAGGAUCACCAAGAUAUCCUGGCUUAAUCCCUUAUCCUACUUUUGUGCAACAGGCCCCAGAUAGGCCUCUGCGCUGAAACGUUUAUCGACGUUUAGGACAUCAAGUCUGUGGAUAAUUGCUUUUAAGUUGACAAAACUGAUUUAUAAUUAUUUUUAUGAGUAUGUAGAUACACUUUUAAAUGUGUGAUGUUAGCACACAUUCGUAAUCAAGUUUAAAUUCUGUCGAGACAAAGCCGUUUUAGACCAGGAAGGGUAACGUUAGAGUUACUUUCACUUUAUUUCUCUGACAAACAAAGCUAAAUGUGAUCGUUUACCUGUUUGAAGUGAGGGCUCACAGAGAAGAAAAACACACAGCAGAGCAAAACUCGCGGUCACGACGGAGGUGCCCAUGGCUGGAAAGCUUUUAAUUAUGUUUAAACUAUCCUGAUAUUUACUGAAUACAGCUACGCAACAACUGAACGCAGAAACAGUCUGGUGUCAGAAAAUGGUGGCUGAACGAAGGCUGACCAAUAAGAAAAUACAGCGAUGAUUUCAUUCGUAUCUGGGCAGAUGCACUGAAGCACUGAAGCAAGAUUACUAAAUCAAUACAAGCCGUGAAGGUGCACAGUCUAGACCGGGUUAUUACCCGAAAACAUGAUAAACAGCUUGAUGUGUUCGAUGAUUAACAUUUAUUAAUAGCCUACCCUAUUUUUACAAUAAGUUCUUCCACCAAGUUCACUUCUUGCUUGAAGCAACGUUUUAGUGACGUGACGCAGCAUGGGCAAAAUAUCCUUAGAAAAAAAGUAGCUACAUUUACAUUAAAAUUAUAUUCCAGCUGACAGUAGUUUGGGCUUUGUUUAAACGGGUGUGAGUUUAAAAAUGCAUUAUUAACCAUUUAGACCAUCUAUAGCAACACUCCAGCAACCACUGAAGAUGCAGUUGUUUUAUUUUCUGUUCUAUUAAAUGUUAAAAAUGUUAAUUAACAGGUAGUUAUUUUAAGCAGGUAGACAGUUAUCACAAUGAAAACAGCUGUCAUAUUUGUCAAUUUUUGUCUUAUAAUGUUAAAACUAAACCUGAAACUAAUCAUAAUUUCUAGAAACUAGAAUAGCCUAAAUACUGUAGAUCCCACAUAAAUAACAUUUAUAAAUAAAAUACUACCUAUUGAUUUGAUACCAUGAAAA